rnacentral:snRNA from 1 species
GUCAAAUAACUUUGAAGACAGAA